UUAUAAACAUAAAAGCUACAAUAAAUAAAUAAAUCGAACUGGAAUUAUAGUGUCAAAUAGAUUGUCCUUUGAAGCCUACUUACACAGCUGUGCACAUACUGUAUGCACAAUGUACAUAAAAGGACAGUGCACAUGGCAUCUAAUUCUAUACAGGGCUCCCCAGAAGGUAUACAGCAUGACUAAAUACACAAAGCAAUCACAUGACCGAUGUCACAUUGCUGGAGAGUGCACCAGAUACCCAACUAUUAAUGAAAGGCAUCCACAAUGACAGCGCUGAUGAGUGAGGUGACCGUGGCCCCCUGGCUUUAAAAUGUUCUAACUACCAAUGUCAAGCACAAAAGUACAGGGUUAGGUUUGGAGUGCCAUUUAUUUGUCAGUUAAUUUGCAGAAUCCCACACAAGGUGUCUGAUUUAGUAAGACCCCCAAAAAGCGGGGGGCUAAAUUGUGUGUCCACUCAAACAGACUGCCUGUGCUGUGGGUGGACAUGUUGCACGUGAUCUAAGACCCGCCACACACUGAGCAAGGCACUGAUGCGCGUAACUGGACAAUCAUGAACAAAUUAAGUCAACGACUAACCAUUGCAGACGUGGCGGCGAACACGCUUUUCAUUUUGCCGAGGCAUCCUCCUCGCCACAAUAACCGCAAUCAUCGUUAAGCACAUCAGUGGCGGUGUCCACCUGCCUUUCAGACAACUAUACAAAAUCCCACAUCAUCAAUUUAAUUCUUCAAUGUAUUUACCUACACUCUUCCCAGAAUGCACAUUUAAUUUAAAUUCAGCACAUUUGGCAAACGCUAAACUGUGUGCAACUAAUUUGAAGGUCAGCCGCCAAAUCUGUCUGCCUGAGCAAUCAAUAUUGUGCCUCUUAUUGCAGAAGCAAACCUGGAAUUAAAGAAGCGCAUAAACUUUACCUCUUCUAGACACUUACUGUAGUCAGACUGAAGCAAAGCUCUUUAAAUGCAAGCACAACUUCAAUAUGUCUGUCAAAAAAACAUCUGCAAAACUGAUUCAACUUGCAUAAUGUCACGAUUCCACUCUGUUAAAUGUCCAGCAGGUGGCAGAGGUGCACCUGUCACCCAUCAUCAACACUUCACUUAAGACGCUCACACCGACGCCCGAUAAUAGCCUUGCUCAAGUCAUUGGCUGAGUGCUGUUUUCUCGAGGUUCAACGUUAUUGCGCCAUAGUUCUCUUGCCUCAUUCUGUAUUUUUCCAUGCAAGUGGAACCAUUGUUUUUUUAUUGUAAAGAUGUAUAGGUUUGUCACAUUGUCCUUACGUGACAAGCUAUUUCUAUUUAUCUUCUCCUUGCUUUUUGCAAGCGCUUUUUGUUCUCGUUUUUAUUCUGGUUAUUGUUCGCUUUGGAUUCAGGAGUGGAGGCUGUGGUGUCCUAGCGCUCCCCAGUUGACCAGAAACUCCUGCGGAUUCUUCUGUUGUGGACUCACGCAAGCCAAGAAAAACUAUGACCCAUUCACGAUGUGCACUGACCAUAUAACCUUGCCUCGAUUCGAUCUGCCAAGUGACUCAGGGCCGUUACGGAUGGGCACUGUUAUUUAUCCAUUAUAAGUUCACAUUAACUUACCGCAACGGGUCCGAGUAUACUAAACCUGACACUCUAUCUAUAAUCUACGACCCUAAUGAGGAGAGAGCUGAUCCGGAAAACAUCUUGACAGACCAUUUCAUUUUGGGGGCGUUGAGGUGGGAAAUUGAGCAGAGGAUUGAAGAGGCUCAAGAAGCAGUCACAAUUCCUAUUGGGUGCCCGGCAGGGAAGUUUAGAGACAGCGUUACGGUGGGUGUGCUUACAACAACCCGCGUCAUGGGCUCCACAUUUCCCAUGGGUAGAGUUUGCGCACAAAGCCCUCGUGCCUCUGCUACAGGCUGGUCUUCCUUAAUAAAUGUCCGCUUAUGGAUAUCAACCACCUCUGUUCUCGUCGCAGGAUUAGUCGGAAUUCCCUCCGUUCAGCGGACUCAUAAGAUAUGCAGAGAUACCAGAGGCGCUUUGUCAUGCUCCGCAUCCUGCAAUAUAGAAGACCGUCGACACCGCCCCACUCCUGAAUAUCAAGUAAGAAAGAAGGUUCGGCUGUCGACGUGGGACUUGCAUUUGGCCGGAGCCACACGCAAGCUGGGACUGAGGUUCACGGGAUCGUUUGAAGUGGAGGCUAUAAUAAAUCCUGUGUACAUCAAGCUCCGGCUACUACCCUCCAUGAAGGUCCAUCCUGUUUUCCAUGUCUCUCUACUGAAACCUAUGCCAUCAAGUCCUCUCUCUCCGUCCCCUCCUGCGCAGGUAUUUUACUGAAACCUGCGAAGGCAGUCUUGAUUCAGUCUCAAUACGACAUCGGCUUUGGACUCGGAGUUCAGAACAUUUAGAGACAAAAUUCAGUUAAAAUUAUCCCCCAAAUUAACAAAAAACUGAUUAAUUGUUUUCUAUUUUUCCCCAAUAAUCAAUUGCGGACAUUUACCAUAAUGCCAAUACUUUUUAGGACUUGAGUGGAACAGUAUUGACUGUCCAGUGUGGAGUUUUGAUACUGAUAUUUUGGAUAGAUUGGCUCCAUACUCUGGUAUGCUACGUACGGUAGGAUUCACAGUUUUACAGCAAUUCAGUUGUUGGUUUGGGAGUGACUCUGAGCUUGUGCGUUUUACUCCUGCUGUGACUGAAAAGAGGCUGUCGACACUAAUCAAACGGCUUUUAGCUCCUAUUUUCUAAUUACAUAGGGCCACACCAUCAACAGUGGAAGUUUCUGUCAUACCCACUGUGAAAGUCCAAAUCGAACACCAUUAAGACCCUCGGCCUAUAAUGCGCAACAUGAUCGCUUACUACAGCCCUCUCAUUAAAAAUGUUUGGAUUUGCCUCGCCAGCAUUCAUUCUGAGACUUCCGUUUAAACAUUUCUACGAGCAUACUGUAAAUAAAUGCAUAUGGGCAUGCGAUUAACCACAGUAAAGAGACUCCGGAGAUGAUAAAAGCAGUCACAGUGAAAGAGUACAAAGACAAACUACAAUGUGGAGAAGUGAGAACCAGAAGAGAAAGUGUGUCGUACCCUAGUGGGGGAAAAAAUGAACUAGUGAACUGAUUGAGAAGGGGAAGAAAGGAGUGGAGGUUUCAUCCUUUAUGUGGCAGUGUUUCUCUCUGACGCUCGCAAUUGAUGUGGAGAGAUAGAGGGGUUGUCACGUUGAGCCCGAAGCGACAGAAUAAUCGCUCCGUGCACAACUACUAGAGGUAAGUGGAUCCCCGAAAUAGCAGACACGGAAAAGGAAUUUUCUCAUAAAAAAUGAGAUUAUAACACAAAAUCAAAUCAAAAAGAGGGCCAGGAAAUAAUAACGGGGCAACAGAAAACGCUGGUCAAAAAGAGGACCAGGAAAUAACAACGAGGCAAUAGAAAACGCUUGC